rnacentral:lncRNA from 1 species
GAGAGUUUCAUAUGUGAUGUUAUCUCAUCACUAUCAGAUUUAUUUUCAGUGAAUUAAAAGAAUUAAAGAGAAAUUAAGUAAUUAGUAUAUGCACCUGCAAUCCUUUUAAUGCUUUUAAAAGUGUUGUAAGUCAGAAGCAAUGGUGUAACAACACUCGACUGGUAAUUUGAAGGGGAAAAAGGUCUAAAAACGGAUCCAUACUGUAUCGUAAACUGCCCAUACUCGACGAUCCCAGUUAGUCAGUCCAGAGUGAAGCAAACAUUUUAUUACAUGAUGUACUCCAACAUAUGUAUGCAACAGUUCAUCUGAACCCAAUGAUCUCUCAUUCCGUUUACAUCUCAAUUAGUUUUACCCAAUUGUUCACAUGUGAGAUGUCUUACCGAGCAGAGAUCCCAAAUUCUGGGCAUCUGGGAUUGUGUAAUGAGGUAAGAGCUUUUUGGAAACACUACCUUGAUUUGUCAACAAUAUUCUGCCAAUGUUUCCAUUUUCCCUUAAAUCGCUUUUCUCAUCUUGUGUAAGAGGAGGUAGGAUUAAUUAUGCUAGUGAGUGGAAUAGGUACACCUAUUCUCGACAGUAUAUAUACUGGCUAUACACGGAGGACGUGGACAAACCAUUCUUCAGCUGCACAGCAAGUAUUCUACUGCACUGUCAAGUAUCCAUCUAAAAACUUCUCUGCAAGAUGAAUUUUAUUUCGAUCACUUCCCUGUUGGUUGUUGCUGCGUUGAUGAUUUCGGUCGAUGCCCAGUGGAACAACGGCGACGGUGGCUCCAGAUGGCUGCCCAACUGCGACUUCACCGGCGGAGACAUUGGCAGCGUGCGAGUGCCCGGAUCGCAGUGCGCAAGGGCUUGCAUCAAUCGACCUAGAUGCAAUCAUUUCACUUAUAUAGCCGGAGUGUGUUUGCUGAAAAGUCAUCCAUUAUCCAAAGCACGAUCCGGGUGUCGCGCAUGCAAUUUUUGCGGAUUCCUUCCAUUCCGAACCAUCGGAUAAAGUUUUCUGGUUUCAGAUUUUGCACUUUUCCAGAUUUUGCACUUUUCCAGAUUUUGCACUUUUCCAGAUUUCUAUCUAUCGUUUCGUAUUUAGUUUAUAUACCUUUAUAAGUAGCAUUAUUAUGUAGAUGUAGACGAAAUAAUUUAUCAAAUACAACAUAUUAGUACACGC